UGCACGGUGGCUUAAUGGUUAGUAUGUUCACCUCACACCUCCAGGGUCCGGGGUUCAAGUCCCGCCCGGGCCG